UCUGAGUUAAAGUUAAAAGGGUAGUAGGAGUAGAUCUUGAAACCUAAAAUUUUUGGCGGUUUUUUAGUCUAAUUAGAGGAAUCUGUUCUGUAAUAGAUGUUCCACUUUUUAUUUAACUUUGGAAAAAACUUAUAUAUCGCCGUCGUAAAGGAAGAUUUUUAGGUCUUGUUAGAGAAUCUUGGGGUAAGAUGUUAUGACAGGUCAAGGUGUAGUUGAUGUCAAAGGGUGAAAUGGAUUACAAUCUUGAAUUGAAGAAAUGAAUAUUAAUGAGAAUAAUUAUUAAUUGAAGGUGGAUUUAAAAGUAAUAAUUUAUUAAGAUGAAAUUAUGAAAAGUUGGCUCUGGAAAAUGU
rnacentral:rRNA from 1 species